GCGGCGCACAGCACAUCAAGUAAUCUUCGCAUCUGGAGAUCUGGUUUUCUUCUUGGUCCAUUAUGUGGGUCCAUCAUAUGGGUCUCUCAAUAUUCGAUUUGAUGAAAGGACUGCAAAAUAAGGAAAGAUGGUCAGGGAUCUACCGGAAUGCCCUGGUGGAGACCCUACGACGUUCAAGUGGCUCAUGAACUAGUGUAGUAUGGAUAGACAAGAGUUGCAGAAAAGAAUAAUAGUAAAAAAUAUGGAGCCGAACAAGAAGAAAGAAGGAAGGACCCCCUUUUGCUCUGCUCGUGAUGUAUAUCUACUUACAAUGCUAGUCUCUGUCACUCAGCUCCGUACGUACGGAUGUGUCAAGGUUCCUCUCCAUGCCAGGCAUUCAUUUAAUUUUUCCCGGCGCGCAUGCGGGCAGGACUGUGAGGUGACUGGGCCUGCUCCCCUACUUCUUCACAUCACAUCACCAGGCUGGACUUCUUCCUGCUGAAUCUGGGCUCACGGGUAACCCAUCCAGCCCGGCGUGUCUGGGUCGAGACCCGAGAUGCUGAGUUGGUAAGCCUAAGGAGGGUUUGAUGGCCUUUGGGCCAUUAUUCUCCUCUUGAGUCCGGCCCCGCUCAAGGUAGAGGAAGUCCGGCCUCGCCCAGGGUAGAGGAAGCCCGGCUGUCAUCAGUAAUUAAGAAUCAUAUUUUGUAAUUGAAAAUCAUAUUUUGCUUGUCAAGUGAGUAUUUCAUAACAGCAAACUGUACAAUAUCAUGAACUACAAGUUUAAUAUAAAUUAAAUGACGAAUCUUAAAAUGAAAAUAAGUAAAAUCAGAUGGCAUUUUUUUUA